rnacentral:rRNA from 1 species
AGUCAAUAGAUACCCGGGUAGUCCAUGCCGUAAACGAUGAUUGCUAGGUGUGGGGGGUCUGACCCCUUCCGUGCCGGAGUUAAACACAAAUAAGCAAUCCACCUGGGGAGUACGGCCGCAAGGUUGAAACUCAAAGGAAUUGACGGGGGCCCGCACAAGCAGUGGAGUAUGUGGUUUAAUUCGAAGCAACGCGAAGAACCUUACCAGGUCUUGACAUCCACCGAAUCCUGUAGAGAUACGGGAGUGCCCUUCGGGGAACGGUGAGACAGGUGGUGCAUGGUUGUCGUCAGCUCGUGUCGUGAGAUGUUGGGUUAAGUCCCGCAACGAGCGCAACCCUUGUGAAUAGUUGCUACGAAAGAGCACUCUAUUCAGACCGCCGUUGACAAAACGGAGGAAGGUGGGGAUGACGUCAAAUCAUCAUGCCCCUUAUGACCUGGGCUACACACGUACUACAAUGGCCGUUAACAGAGGGAUGCAAUGCCGCGAGGUGGAGCGAACCCCUAAAAA